rnacentral:rRNA from 1 species
UGAGGAAUAUUGGUCAAUGGUCGGGAGACUGAACCAGCCAAGCCGCGUGAGGGAAGAAGGCCCUAUGGGUCGUAAACCUCUUUUGUCAGGGAACAAAAGCGAGUAUGUAUACUAGUCUGAGUGUACCUGAAGAAAAAGCAUCGGCUAACUCCGUGCCAGCAGCCGCGGUAAUACGGAGGAUGCGAGCGUUAUCCGGAUUUAUUGGGUUUAAAGGGUGCGUAGGCGGCGAUGCAAGUCAGCGGUAAAAGCCCGGGGCUCAACCCCGGCGAGCCGUUGAAACUGCAGUGCUAGAGAAGGCGAGAGGUACGCGGAAUGCGCAGUGUAGCGGUGAAAUGCUUAGAUAUUGCGCAGAACUCCGAUUGCGAAGGCAGCGUACUGGCGCCUGACUGACGCUGAGGCACGAAAGCGUGGGGGAUCGAACAGGAUUAGAUACC